CAUAUAAAAGCAUAAAGCAUCUAACUGUUAAUUAGAAAUAAUGGAAAGUACCUCCAUUUAUAUGA
rnacentral:tRNA from 1 species